AGUGAACGCUGGCGGCAGGCCUAACACAUGCAAGUCGAACGGUAGCACACUAAGAGCUUGCUCUUACGGGUGGCGAGUGGCGUACGGGUGAGGAAUACAUCCGAAUCUACUUUUUCGUGGGGGCCAACGUAGGGAAACUUACGCUAAUACCGCAUACGACCUACGGGUGAAAGCAGGGGAUCUUUGGACCUUGCGCGAUUGAAUGAGCCGAUGUCGGAUUAGCUAGUUGGCGGGGUAAAGGCCCACCAAGCGGACGACCCGUAGCUGGUCUGAGAGGAUGAUCGGCGACACUGGAGCGGGGACGGGGACCAUGGUACUGCGGGAGGGACCAGUGGGGAAUAUUGGACAGUGGGCGCAAGCCUGAUCCAGCCAUACCGCGUGGGUUGAGGAGGCCUUGGGGUUGUGAAGCCCUUUUGUUGGGAGAGAAAAGCAGCAGGUUAAUACCCCGCUGUUCUGACGGUACCCAAAGAAUAAGCACCGGCUAACUUCGUG
rnacentral:rRNA from 1 species